UUUCUUUGAGUUUCCUCAACACAGCUAUUUUGAAUUCUCUGUCUGAAAACUCACAUAUGUCUCUCUCUCCAGGAUUGGCCCCUGGUGCCUUAUUUCAUUUGGUAAGGUCAUGUUUUUCUGUAUGGACUUGAUGCCUGUGGCUGUUCAUUGGUGUCUGAUCUUUGAAGAGUUAUGCAUUUAUCACAGUCUUCACAGUCUGGGCUUGUUUGUGUCCAUCCUUCCUGGGAACGCUUUCUACAUAUUCAAAGGGACCUGGGGGUUGAGAUCUGAGUUUUUGGUCACUGCAAGCCAUAUCUGCAUUACAGAGCACCCCAAGCCUAGUAACGUUGUGGUUCUUGAAGACUCGUAGAGGUACCACUUUGGUGGUCUCGGAUAAGAUAUGGAAGAAUUCUCUGGAUUACCAGGUGGAGACUUUUGUUCUCUUCUUUUACUUUCUCCUGAACAAAAGAGUCUCUCUUUCUUUGCUGAGGUACAUGAGGCUAUGGGAAGGGUUACACAAGCACCCCUGUGGCCAUCACCACUGAGAUUGGGCUGGGUGAGACCUGAAUCCAGCACAGCACUGGGUCUCUCCCAAGGCCUGCUAUAACUACUACCUGGUCACCACCUAUGUUCGCUCAAGGCCCUAGAGCCUUAAAGCCAGCAGGUGGUGAAGCCAGCCAGUCUUGUGACCUUCACUUCAGAGCAGUGAGUUCCCUCAUGUCCUUGGCUGGUCCAGAGAUACCGUCUGGAAGUCAGGGACUGAAGUUGGAAAACUUAAAAAUCUACCUGCUAAGGCUAAGCUAGCACUCAAACCACAAUACAAAGUCCUUCCCACUUUCCCCAGGCAAAAUAGUCUCUCCCUGUGCCCACCACCACACAGGCUCACAGGGAGUACUCUCAGGCUACCAGUAAUGUUCACUUAUGGCCUAAGGACUCUUCAGUCAGCUUGUGGUGAAUGCUGUCAGGCUUGGGACUCACCCUUCAGGGCAAGAGGCUCCCCUCUGGCCCAGGGCAGGCUCAGAAAUCCCAUCCAAGAGCCAAAUCCUGGAAUCAGGGGCUCCAAGACCUUGCUUGGUGAUCUUCCCUACUGUGACCAAGCUUGUACCUAAGCUGCAAUCAAAAUCCUUUUUUAUUAUUAUGCCUCCUUUUCUCAGGCAGAAGGAGUCUCUUCUCAUAUCCACCAUGGCUGUGAAUAUGCUGGGUCACACCUGAAGCUAGCAAAUCUCAGAGUCUCACCCAAGGCCCAUGAUAGGGAAAGGGGAAGGCUUGAUCUGGGAAAGCUGGAGAAAGAAGACUGAAGGAUGGACUGGAUGACAUUGAUGCUAUUGCCUCAUGACAAAAUCUGAUGCAAGAGGAAGGCUACUAAGAAGCCAGCUCUACUUUUGACCAUCAGUGAUGAAAGAAUGAACCUUAAAGGGGAGGAGGACUAACAAUUCUUCAGGUGAGAAGAGGGAAGAAAGUUAGGAUGAAUCUGGAAGUGAGAUUUCAAGAUGGGGCAAGAAGAACUUCUGUUCACCUGUAAAAUAGAAAAAAAGAUAUUUUCAGUCUCACCAUUAUUUUCCAAGUGAGUUUUUUUUUUUCCUAUUACUAAACUGUACAAGGGCAGGAGCUGUGCCAUUUUAGUCUGUGAUCCUCCAAAGACUGUUAUAAUGGCUCAGCAGACACUCAAUAAAUAUUUGUUGAAUAAUCAGAGGCAAGUAAGACAUAAUAAACACAAAAACGUAGCAAAGCAAAUGCCAGGAGGAACUGGAGUUUAGUAGAAUAUUUAAUGAAAGUGCAAAAGACUUGCAAAAGUGCUUGGGAAUUAGGGAAGGAUAAAGAGGGUGUGACCCAAGCCUGGGGUUGCAAAUGACAUAUAGACAGCUUGACAUUUCUUCUCCCUUAUAAUUCAUUAAUCUCCAACAGGGAUCAUUUUCUAAAAAAAAAAUAUUGUUAUAGAUUCAAAGGGUAAAGUGGAAGUUUGUUACAUGGAUAGAUGACAAUGUAGUGGUUGGGUUUGGGCUUCUAUUGUACCCAUCACCCGAAUAGUGAAUAUUGUACCCAAAUAGGUUACUUUUCAACCCUCCCCCCAUCCCACUCUCCCCACUUUUGGAGUCUCCAAUGUCAAUUGUUUCCUUCUUUGUGUCCAUGUGUACCCAUUCUUUAGCUCUUACUUAUGAGUGAAAAGAUGAAGUAUUUGAUUUUCUGUUUAUGAGUUUUUUCAUUAGGAUAAUGGUCUCAAGCUCCAUUUUCCAUGUUGCUGCAAAACAUAGGAUUUCAUUCUUUUUAUGGCCGUGUAAUAUUCCAUGGUGUAUAUAUACCACAUUUUUUAUCUAAUCAUCCUUUAUAGGACACUGAAAUUAGUUCCAUAUCUUUGCUAUUGUGAAUAGCGUUGUGACAAACAUGAA